GAUGAACGCUGGCGGCGUGCUUAACACAUGUAAGUCGAACGAAGAUGCCGGAGUGCUUGCACUUUGGCAGACUGAGUGGCGGACGGGUGAGUAACGCGUGGGUAACCUGCCUUAUACAGGGGGAUAACAGUUGGAAACGACUGCUAAUACCGCAUAAGCGCACGGUAUCGCAUGAUACAGUGUGAAAAACUCCGGUGGUAUAAGAUGGACCCGCGUCUGAUUAGCUAGUUGGUGAGGUAACGGCCCACCAAGGCGACGAUCAGUAGCCGGCCUGAGAGGGUGAACGGCCACAUUGGGACUGAGACACGGCCCAAACUCCUACGGGAGGCAGCAGUGGGGAAUAUUGCACAAUGGGGGAAACCCUGAUGCAGCGACGCCGCGUGAGUGAUGAAGUAUUUCGGUAUGUAAAACUCUAUCAGCAGGGAAGAUAAUGACGGUACCUGACUAAGAAGCACCGGCUAAAUACGUG
rnacentral:rRNA from 1 species